rnacentral:rRNA from 1 species
AUUGAACGCUGGCGGCAGGCCUAACACAUGCAAGUCGAGCGAGCGGCGGACGGGUGAGUAAUGUAUGGGGACUGCCCGAUAGCGGGGGAUAACUACUGGAAACGGUAGCUAAUACCGCAUACUAUCGGAUAACCCAUAUGGGAUUAGCUCGUAGGUGAGGUAAUGGCUCACCUCGGCGACGAUCCCUCGCUGGUCUGAGAGGAUGAUCAGCCACACUGGGACGGAGACACGGCCCAGACUCCUACGGAGGCAGCAGUGGGGAAUAUUGCACAAUGGGCGCAAGCCUGAUGCAGCCAUGCCGCGUGUAUGAAGAAGGCCCUAGGGUUGUAAAGUACUUUCAGUCGGGAGGCGUUACCGACAGAAGAAGCACCGGCUAACUCCGUGCCAGCAGCCGCGGUAAUAC